AUACUUACCUGGCAGGGGAUAUACCAUGAUCACUUAGGUGGUAUACCCAGAGUGAAGCUCAUCCAUUGCACUCAGGGUGUGCUGACCUCUGCGAUUUCCCCAAAUGUGGGAAACUCAACUGCAUAAUUUGUGUUACUGGGGACUGCGUUCACUCUUUAUUUUU